rnacentral:rRNA from 1 species
CAGUCGCCGCGGGAAUAUGUAGGUGGCAAGCGUUGUCCGGAAUUAUUGGGCGUAAAGGGCUCGCAGGCGGUUUCUUAAGUCUGACGUGAAAGCCCCCGGCUCAACCGGGGAGGGUCAUUGGAAACUGGGAAACUUGAGUGCAGAAGAGGAGAGUGGAAUUCCACGUGUAGCGGUGAAAUGCGUAGAGAUGUGGAGGAACACCAGUGGCGAAGGCGACUCUCUGGUCUGUAACUGACGCUGAGGAGCGAAAGCGUGGGGAGCGAACAGGAUUAGAUACCCGCGUAGUCCCUGUCUCUUAUAC